UACGAAGGGGGCUAGCGUUGCUCGGAAUUACUGGGCGUAAAGCGCACGUAGGCGGUCUUUUAAGUCGGUGGUGAAAUCCUGGAGCUCAACUCCAGAACUGCCUUCGAUACUGGAAGACUUGAGUCCGGGAGAGGUGAGUGGAACUGCGAGUGUAGAGGUGGAAUUCGUAGAUAUUCGCAAGAACACCAGUGGCGAAGGCGGCUCACUGGCUCAUUACUGACGCUCAGGCGCGACAGCGUGGGGAUCAAACAGG
rnacentral:rRNA from 1 species